GGGGGUUUGAACUUGCAACCUUCCGGUUACUAGUCCAAUGCUCUAACCACUAGGCUACCCUGCCGCCGUACAACAGGAGUCUUCUGUAACCUGCAAUACGUCUUAAAUAUGUUUUACAUACAUCCAUGACUGAAUGGUUUCACAAACUCCCAUUAAAGGUUUUGUAAGUUGUAACAGGAAUGCUCUGCUAGUCCUAAAUCCAGACAUAAUCCACACAUAUGUGAUUGUUAUAACUGGUCUACGUUGUGUGGGAACAAACUUAUGUUUUCCUGGAAGGGUGAGCUUUCAUAAUGGGGUCAAAAUAAAUAUGCUAGAAGCGAUAGGAACAAGGUUGUAUAUUUGGUUUAGAGAACAAAGGCGGUGAAUUCAAACAACAGGAGGGGAUGUCGAGACAUUCUGUCUACAACCGGGGUGGGGGGCACCGGGGGUUGAUUAGAGAUAUCAAUGUUUAACCCCGGGGGGUCGGCAGAUAUCUGGACAUGCCGUAUGCAUGAUAGUGCAAACAUUGGUUUCAAACGAUCCCCCUCCAGAUAGCAUGUAGCCCCAUUCUUGGGCCCCUGUUGAACACCCCCCCCCCCCUCCCCUUUGUUUUUGAAACGCAUACACACACACACACACACACUCCUGCUGUUCCCGUCACACGCACACUCACCCUUAUUUUCCGUGUCUUUUUUCUUCGUGACAGACCGGGGUGAUGUAUGGAAAGGACAUUUUAGCCAGCGUUAAAGGACCGGGGUGAUGGAUGGAAAGGACAUUUUCCUGUUGUUAAAGGAUAAAAGGGCUGGUUAGGCCUGACCAUUAUCCGUUUCCAAUUCACCAUCGCAAAGACGCUUGUCCGCUCCAUCAAAACUCCGUAAGUUUUCCCUCCAUGUGUAGAUCAACCAUACUGCAUGUAAAUCCUGGGUAUGCCCACAUCAUUAAUUAAUAAGAUGGGUAAAAAACUGUUUAGACAUAAGUAAAGGCCUUUUAUAAAGAGGCUGUCAUGAUUGCCUGUGCCACAUAUUUAGUACGUAUUGCUUGUUACAGAAUACUACUGUUGUACAUUUAAUAUCCACUAGCAGAUGUCGUCGCAUUUGCACAAAUUCUGUCAUGUUACUGUGGUCUUUUUAAAAGUCAAUAAAUGUGUGUAAAGUGUACAUGUUUGUUUCACUGUAGAUUUGUUUAAGCCCUCCUAGAAACACCUGAUUUUAUCCCACAGCAUUAAUUAAUAAGCUGUGUAGAAGCUGUUUAGACAUAAGUAAAGGCCUUUCAUAAAGAGGCUGUCAUGAUAAACCUGAAUCUGCAAUUACCUUUAGGAUCUUUUCUUUGGGGUUGUAAUCUCCCCAGGUGUACAUGCACUGAAAAUCCUUAGGCUGGAGCCAUCUGGAAGCUCUGUACAUAUAAAGAGAACUAAAUAGGAAACUAGGCUGAGAAACAUUAUUUAGAUGGCUGUUUAAUUGUUGUUGAAAGCUUGAAAUGGACACAAUGCCAAGGGACCUUGUUUCUAACACACACACACACACACACACACACACACACACACACACACACACACUCCUUGUUUCUAAUACGGACACACGCGCACACACACA